GACGAACGCUGGCGGCGUGCUUAACACAUGCAAGUCGAGCGGAAAGGCCCUUCGGGGUACUCGAGCGGCGAACGGGUGAGUAACACGUGAGUAACCUGCCCUAGGCUUUGGGAUAACCCCGGGAAACCGGGGCUAAUACCGGAUAUGACCUGGUGCCGCAUGGUGUUGGGUGGAAAGUUUUUUCGGCCUGGGAUGGGCUCGCGGCCUAUCAGCUUGUUGGUGGGGUGAUGGCCUACCAAGGCGAUGACGGGUAGCCGGCCUGGGAGGGCGACCGGCCACACUGGGACUGAGACACGGCCCAGACUCCUACGGGAGGCAGCAGUGGGGAAUAUUGCACAAUGGGCGGAAGCCUGAUGCAGCGACGCCGUGUGAGGGAUGAAGGCCUUCGGGUUGUAAACCUCUUUCAGCAGGGACGAAGCGUGAGUGACGGUACCUGCAGAAGAAGCGCCGGCCAACUACGUG
rnacentral:rRNA from 1 species